UACGGGGGGAGCAAGCGUUGUUCGGAUUUACUGGGCGUAAAGGGCGCGUAGGCGGCCACCGCAAGUCGACUGUGAAAUCUCCGGGCUUAACCCGGAAAGGUCAGCCGAUACUGCGGGGCUAGAGUGCAGAAGGGGCAACUGGAAUUCUCGGUGUAGCGGUGAAAUGCGUAGAUAUCGAGAGGAACACCUGCGGCGAAGGCGGGUUGCUGGGCUGACACUGACGCUGAGGCGCGAAAGGUAGGGGAGCAAACAGG
rnacentral:rRNA from 1 species